rnacentral:rRNA from 1 species
AUUGAACGCUGGCGGCAUGCCUAACACAUGCAAGUCGAACGGCAGCACAAUGUGUAGCAAUACACAUGGGUGGCGAGUGGCGGACGGGUGCGUAAUGUGUAGGGAUCUGCCCUGAAGUGGGGGACAACCCGGGGAAACUCGGGCUAAUACCGCAUAAUACUCUACGGAGGAAAUCUGGCUACGUAAGUAGCUGGUGCUUUAGGAUGAACCUACAUCCGAUUAGCUAGUUGGUGAGGUAAUAGCUUACCAAGGCGAUGAUCGGUAGCUGGUCUGAGAGGAUGGCCAGCCACACUGGGACUGAGACACGGCCCAGACUCCUACGGGAGGCAGCAGUGGGGAAUAUUGGACAAUGGGGGAAACCCUGAUCCAGCAAUGCCGCGUGGGUGAAGAGGGCCUUCGGGUUGUAAAGCCCUUUAGGCGGGGAAGAAGGUUCUAGGGUGAUAAGCCUUAGAGCUUGACGGUACCCGCAGAAUAAGCACCGGCUAACUCUGUGCCAGCAGCCGCGGUAA